rnacentral:rRNA from 1 species
CGAAUUCGCCCUUAGAGUUUGAUCCUGGCUCAGGAUGAACGCUGGCGGCGUGCUUAACACAUGCAAGUCGAACGGUGAAGCAGAGCUUGCUCUGUGGAUCAGUGGCGAACGGGUGAGUAACACGUGAGCAACCUGCCCCUGACUCUGGGAUAAGCGCUGGAAACGGCGUCUAAUACCGGAUAUGAGCUGCGAUCGCAUGGUCAGCAGUUGGAAAGAUUUUUCGGUCUGGGAUGGGCUCACGGCCUAUCAGCUUGUUGGUGAGGUAAUGGCUCACCAAGGCGUCNACGGGUAGCCGGCCUGAGAGGGUGACCGGCCACACUGGGACUGAAACACGGCCCCCACUCCUACGGGAGGCAGCAGUGGGUAAUAUUGCACAAUGGGCGAAAGCCUGAUGCCUUAACGCCGCGUGAGGGAUGACGGCCUUACGGUUGUAAACCUCUUUUAUCAGGGAAUAACCGAAAUUGACGGUACCUGCAUAAAAAGCGCCGGCUAACUACAUGCCUGCUGCCUCGGUUAUAC